GCAUGCAGGUGGUUUGUUAAGUCAGAUGUGAAAGCCCGGGGCGCGGCCUCGGAACUGCAUUUGAAACUGGCAAACUAGAGUACUGUAGAGGGGGGUAGAAUUUCAGGUGUAGCGGUGAAAUGCGUAGAGAUCUGAAGGAAUACCAGUGGCGAAGGCGGCCCCCUGGACAGAUACUGACACUCAGAUGCGAAAGCGUGGGGAGCAAACAGGAUUAGAUACCCUGGUAGUCCACGCCGUAAACGAUGUCUACUUGGAGGUUGUGGCCUUGAGCCGUGGCUUUCGGAGCUAACGCGUUAAGUAGACCGCCUGGGGAGUACGGUCGCAAGAUUAAAACUCAAAUGAAUUGACGGGGGCCCGCACAAGCGGUGGAGCAUGUGGUUUAAUUCGAUGCAACGCGAAGAACCUUACCUACUCUUGACAUCCAGAGAACUUAGCAGAGAUGCUUUGGUGCCUUCGGGAACUCUGAGACAGGUGCUGCAUGGCUGUCGUCAGCUCGUGUUGUGAAAUGUUGGGUUAAGUCCCGCAACGAGCGCAACCCUUAUCCUUGUUUGCCAGCGAGUAAUGUCGGGAACUCCAGGGAGACUGCCGGUGAUAAACCGGAGGAAGGUGGGGACGACGUCAAGUCAUCAUGGCCCUUACGAGUAGGGCUACACACGUGCUACAAUGGCGCAUACAGAGGGCAGCCAACUCGCGAGAGUGAGCGAAUCCCAAAAAGUGCGUCGUAGUCCGGAUUGGAGUCUGCAACUCGACUCCAUGAAGUCGGAAUCGCUAGUAAUCGUAGAUCAGAAUGCUACGGUGAAUACGUUCCCGG
rnacentral:rRNA from 1 species